CCGACACACUGGCUUGUGAAGUCACAGUGAAGUCACAGUGAAAUCAGCUUCCCCACAACCUGAUAGAUCCUCAGAUAGAAAUCAAGACUGUGGGAAGAGUGGAAUGUAUGCUGGGGAGGAAACGAACAAGCUGAGUGGUUGUGGGAGAAAACAUUGAAAACUUGGAGAUGAGAUAUCCACAGUUCAUAUUUAUAGUUUGCUUUAGUUAAUAUUUAUCAAAUAUUUACCAUGUGCCAAGCACUGUUUGAAGCACUUUUUCAUUUGAUCUCCACGAUGACUUUAUGAAGUGGAUAUCAUUAAUAUCCCUAUUUUACAAAUGGAGAAGAUGAGGCUUGGAGAGGCUAAGCAAGUUGGCCAAGGUUAUACAGGUGGACAUAUAUAGAAGAGCAAAUACAGUACACCAAAGACAGAAAAAAAAAAUCUUAAAUGCAGUAAGGGAAAUAAGACAGAUAACUUACAAAGGACCCAAAAUAGAUUUUCAGCAGACUUCUCUUCAACAGCAAUGGAGACUGGAAGAUAAUGGAAUGAUAUCUCCAAGAGAAUUCUAAGAAAGAGAACACAAGCAGGGGGAGCUGCAGAAGGAGAAAGAAAAGCAGGCUCCCCAAUGAGCAAGGACCUCAAUACUGGAACUCCAUCCCAGGCUCCUGAGAUCAUGACUGGAGCUGAAAGCAGCCGCUCAACCGACUGAGCCACCCAGGCAUCCCUCCAUCCUUCACUUCUUAACAGAAGGUUCAAAUUCAACAUUAACACUACUCCUUAGUCAAUACUAAUGUGCUAAUGUAGACUCCUUAGUCUUAGACUCCUAGGAGUUACUGAGGUCUGCUAGGCUAUUUGCAUCUGCAUUAAAUGGUCUCACACUGGAGUGCCUGGGUGGCUCAGGUCAUGAUCUCAGAGUCCUGGGAUCAAGUUCCGCGUGGGGCUCCCUGCUGAGCAGGGAGUCCGCUUCUCCCUCUCCUUCUGCCCGUUCCCACUGCCACCCCCCGUUUGUGCUCUCUCUCAAAUAAAAUAAAAUCUUAAAAAAAAAAAUAAAUCAUCCCAC
rnacentral:lncRNA from 1 species